rnacentral:rRNA from 1 species
GAGCGGGCGUAGCAAUACGUCAGCGGCAGACGGGUGAGUAACGCGUGGGAACGUACCUUUUGGUUCGGAACAACACAGGGAAACUUGUGCUAAUACCGGAUAAGCCCUUACGGGGAAAGAUUUAUCGCCGAAAGAUCGGCCCGCGUCUGAUUAGCUAGUUGGUGAGGUAACGGCUCACCAAGGCGACGAUCAGUAGCUGGUCUGAGAGGAUGAUCAGCCACAUUGGGACUGAGACACGGCCCAAACUCCUACGGGAGGCAGCAGUGGGGAAUAUUGGACAAUGGGGGCAACCCUGAUCCAGCCAUGCCGCGUGAGUGAUGAAGGCCCUAGGGUUGUAAAGCUCUUUUGUGCGGGAAGAUAAUGACGGUACCGCAAGAAUAAGCCCCGGCUAACUUCGUGCCAGCAGCCGCGGUAAUACGAAGGGGGCUAGCGUUGCUCGGAAUCACUGGGCGUAAAGGGUGCGUAGGCGGGUCUUUAAGUCAGAGGUGAAAUCCUGGAGCUCAACUCCAGAACUGCCUUUGAUACUGAGGAUCUUGAGUUCGGGAGAGGUGAGUGGAACUGCGAGUGUAGAGGUGAAAUUCGUAGAUAUUCGCAAGAACACCAGUGGCGAAGGCGGCUCACUGGCCCGAUACUGACGCUGAGGCAC